CCACCAGAAAGCCACUUCUCGUUAUCUUUAAUUGGAUCUUUGUUUUCAAGCUGCACAGAACGUGCACCAGUGCUUGUAACAAUUCUGCUAUUGAUGUGAGCGUUUGCCACACUUAGAAACUGCCCCAGGGAGUUGCACAGUCAAAACAGUUUCAGCAGUUUCACACGCAGAGAGAAGGUACCCGCACAUAUGACUGAGUGCGUUUAAGAGAUUAUGGAUGAACCCACAAAAUCAUUCAGAAUCUUCCCCAACCAGAAGCCCUGGAUGAACCAUGAGAUUUACAAUCUGCUGACAGCCAGAUCAAAGACAUUCAAGUCUGGCGACCAAGAACGUUACAAGAGGUACAGGUAUGAUUUUCAGAAAGCCAUUUCAAGGGCAAAGUGGCAAUUCCAAACUAUACUUGAAAAAUGAAGGAUGCUUGACAGCUUGGGCAGGGCUUGAAUGCUAUCGCCCCUUACAAAGUGAAAUCAAGCGACAUAGGUGACAACAGGGCUUCACUUCCAGAUGAGCUCAAUGCCUUCUAUGUUUGCUUUGCCUAUCACGGAAUGGAGGAACCAUUAUGAACACUCACAGCCCCCAAUGACCCCACGAUUUCAAUCUCUGUGGCUGAUGUAAGAGCAUCCUUCAGGAGAUUGAACCCAUAGAAGGUAUCCAGCCCAGAUGGGGUACCUGACCAAGUACUAAAGGCCUGUGCUGAUCAACUAGCUGCAGUCUUCACUGUGAGCUUAAUUCCCUCAGUUCAGCAGUCAGAACUACAAGCCUGCUCCAAUUAUACUGAUGCCUAAGAAAAACAUGGUGACCUACCUCAAUGACUAUUGUCCAGUAGCACUUACAUCCACUGUGAUGGAGUGUUUGAGAGGCUGGUGAUGAAACAUAUCAACUCUUGCCUCCUCCACUACAAUUUGCCUACUGACACAACAGAUCCACAACAAAUGCCAUUUCAUUGGCUCUUUACUCAACCCUGGAACACCUAGACAGCAAAGAUGCAUACAUCAGGAAGCUCUUUCUUGACUACAGCUCAGAAUUAAAUAAUACCAUCCCUUCAAAACUAAUCAGAAAUCAUCAAGAACCUGGCCUCAAUACUUUUUGUGUAAUUGGAUCAUUGAUUUCCUCAUCAGACCCCAGUCAGUUCAGAUUAGCAACAACAUCCCCUCUACAAUUUCCAUCAGCACGUGCACCAUAAGGCUGUGUGCUUAGCCCCUGCUCUACUUGCUUGACACUCACUACUGGGUGGCUAAGCACAGCUCCAAUGCCAUAUCCAAGCUUGCUGAUGGCACCAUGGUUGUAGGCCGAAUUGAUGUUGGUGAAGAAUCAGCAUGCAGGUGGGAGAUUGAAAAUCUGACUGAGUAGUGCCACAACAACAACCAUUUACCAAAUAUCAGCAAGACCAAGGAGCGGAUUAUUGACUCCACGAGGAGGAAACUGGAGGACCAUGAGCCAAUCCUCAUCAGAGGAUCAGAGAUGGAAAGGGUCUUUAGUCAUGGGGAGUGAUUGGAUUGGCUGGCCUUGGACCCUGCAGCAAAGAGCAAUACUACAUGGAGUAGGCCCUUCCGGCCCUUUGAGCCAAUCACUGACAACCCGGAUUAAACCUAACCCAAUCACAAGACAAGUUACAAUGGCCAAUUAACCUGUGAGAAGAAGUCUGAGGACCUGCCACCAAUUCCAGCAACAAAACUGAACGCACUUGGCCUCCUUCAGAUGACUUCCUGCUGUUACGUGGUCGCUUAACGUUUCUUCUGCGUAGUUCAAUCGACAGAACCUUAUAUAUCAAUAUAAUGUUAUAGCCGGCAGUUUUGCGACAAUGCUGCCAGUUCAGUCCAGUUGGAGAGUGAAGAUUUAUCGAAGUUCGGGAAGCUGGAAGAUCGAGGAAAGUUGAUGUCGGCGGUAAACAGGAUCGACCUUAUUUAAUCUUCGUACGAGGAAUUAGUAACUUGUGGUCCAAGAUAACUCCUGCAUUUCGGAAAGCAGAGAGUUGGAUACAGAAUUUUACCAAGGAAAGCAGGUCGCCACGUCUGAUCUGAGGUCGUAGGCAGAAGAGUACGGAGCACCGGCCGGUUGGCACUGGAGGGCAGUAUGCGACUGCCAGCAGGCGGGUGAGAAGGCAGACCGACUCAGCAUGUGCCAGAUCCCCUGCCGCUGGCGGGUGAGACGGGCGGGUGCCAGGCAACUGUGCCUCUCACAAAUGGUUCAGAUCAGAUUCAGUUUAUUCUCAUUUAGAAACCACAAAUGCAAUGCAGUUAAAAAAUGAGACAACAUUCCUCCAGAAUGAUAGCACAAAAGCACAAGACGAAACAGACUACACUAGAAAAUCCACAUAACAUUUGGCAAUCCCCAAUCCAGAGUCCAGAGAUGCUGCUGCGUAUUACUACCGUCUUAGCGCGUUCCCCGGAAAGGAGCUCCAAAUCCACCAAAAAAGACAAACAAGACCAAAAACUAAAGUUACAAGACCUGCACAAAACCACAUAGUUACAACAGUGCAAACAAUAGCAUAACUGAUUAAAAAAAAGAGACCAUGGGCACAGUAAAAAUAGUCCAAAGAUGUUAAAUAACUAUAAGUUCAAAAGAAAUCACCACACAGUUUCCACAAGUCCCCAGGGUCCCGACAGACUCGCCAUCCCACGCUGGCAGCAGAAGAGAAUACCCCCGCUAUGGACUUCCACGGCGCUACCUGACUCAGCCUCACAGACGCAGCAUACAACGAAAGCGACCUGACUGCAGCGGACUCCGAGUCCAUUGAACCUCCAAGCCAACAACCAUCCCCUCCGGCACAACUUCUCUGAGCACCAUCCUCUGCCGUGCGUAUUGAGACGGCCCCGCCAACAACCAUCGGCAACGUGACCCCGAGGACUGGGGGCCUGUUCUUCCCAGCAGAGUCCCGGACCUCACAGCAGCAGCAGCAAUGAAGAAGGUUUUCCUGGAGAUUUCCAGAUGUUCCUCCGUGCUCCCACGUCUGUUUUCAAUCGAUUAUGAUUGCGCACGCCACCCCACUUCACAAAUAACAGAUAAUCAGCUCCGGAGUGGCCACUGCAAGCUGAGUCGCGCAGCCAUCUUGGAAAUAGGAUAUUAAUAAAUGCAGGAAAACAAGCAGGGAUCGCCUGUCUGUGCUUACAAGAGUGCACCAACAUGUGAACAGAUCUAGCGCAACUUAAACAAUGUACAGCAGAUUGGUACAGUGGCCCAGGAAAUUUGAAAUUACAGUUGCACAGAAAAUUUGAAAUCAAUUCCAAGUUAUCGAAGGAACCGGAUUACAGGUAGUCGGAUUAAUGAAGGUCGACUGUAUGUCAAAGGCUUGAAUACUAUCUCCUCUUAUAAGAGAAAAUCAAGCAGCAACAGGGCUUCACUUCCGGAUGAGCUCAUUACCUUUUAUCAUUACUUGACCAUCAAAAUAUGGAGGAACCACAAGAAUUCCCACAGCCAGCAAAAAUUCUGUGAUUUCAGUCUCUGAGGCCAAAGAGUGAGCAGACUUCAAGAGGGUGAACCAAGAAAAGCAUCCGGCCCAGACAGGGUUCCUUGCCAAGUACUAAAAACCUGUGUUGAUCAACUGGCUGCAGUGUUCACUGAGAUCUUUAACCUCUCGCUUCUGGAGUCUGAGGUACCCACCUGCUUCAAGCAAGCUUUAAGAAGAAUAUUGUAACCUGCCUCAUUAUCAUCCAGUAGCACUUACAUCCACAGUGAUGAAGUGCUUUGAUAGGUUGGUGAUAAAACAUAUCAACUUCUGCCUGAGAAGGGACAUGGAUCUGAUCCAAUUGCCGACUGGAACAAUAGGUCCAUAGUAGAUGCCAUCUCAUUGGUUCUUCCAUUCAACCCUGGACGAUCCGGACUGCAAAGAUGUAUAUAUCAGGGUGCUUCUUAUCAACUACAGUUCAGCAUUCAAUAAAAGCUCAAAGGUUCAAAAUUGAUUAUCAGAGUACAUACAUGUCACCACCUACAACCCUGAGAAUCUUCUUCCUGCAAGCAGACUUAGCAUAUCCAUAGAACAGUAACUGUAAACAGGAUCAAUGAACAACAAACUGUGCAAAUGCAAAUUUAAAUAAAUAUUAAUAAAUAUGAGUAUGAAAUAACAAUAUUACAGAGUCCAUAAAUGAGUCCUUAAAUGAGUGAAUUUAUCCCCUUUUGAUCAAGAGCCUGAUGGUUGAGACAUAAUAACUGUUCCUGAAACUCGUGUUGUGAGUCCUGAGGCACCAUACCUUCUGAUGGCUGCAGUGGGAGAAGAGCAUGGCCUGGGUGGUGAGGAUCUUUGACGAUAGAUGCUGCUUUUCUACGACAACAUUUCAUGUAGGUGUGAUCAAUGGUUAGGAGGGCUUUACCUGUAAUGUACUGGGCCGAAUCCAUUACCUUUUGAAGGAUUUUCUGCUCAAAGGUAUUGGUGUUCUCAUACUAGACCAUAAUGUAGCCAGUCAGCACACUUUCCACCACACAUUUGUAGAAGUUUGCCAAGGAUUUUGAUGACAUGCCUAAUCUCCACAGACACCUGAGGAAAUAAAGGCAUUGUUGUGCUUUCUUGGCAAUGAUACUUAUAUGCUGGGUCCAGGACAGAUCUCCUGAGAUAGUGACACCCUAGAACUUAAAGUUAUUGAUCUUCUCCACCUCUGAUCCUCUAAUGAGUUCUGGUUGAUGGACCUCUUGUUUCUCUCUCCUGAAGUCUGCAAACAGUCCUUGAUCUUAUUGAGAUUGAGUACGAGGUUGUAGCUAUGGCACUGCUCAGCCAAAUUUUCAAUCUUCCUCCUGUACACUGAUUCAUCACCACCUUUGGUAUGGCCCACAACAGUGGUGUCAUCAGCAAACUUGUAUAUGGUGUUGGAGCUGCACUUAGCUACACAAUCAUAGGUAUAAAGCGAAUAGAGCCAGGGGCUACGUACACAUUAACGUGGAGCUCUGUGCUGAUGGGGAUGGUGGAGGGGAUGUUUUUGCCAAUCCAAACUGACCGAGGUCUGCAAAUGAGUUCUGCAAAUCCAGGAUCCAAUUCGUAGAGGCCCAGUUCGUAGAGUUUCUGAUGAGUUUAGAGGAGAUAAUGGUAUUAAAUGCUGAGCAGUAAAUGAUAAGGAGCAUUCUGAUGUAUGCAUCUUUGCUGUUCCAUGGUUUCAGGGUUGUCUGAAGAGCCAAUGAGAUGGUAUUCACCAUAGACCUGUUGCUUUGGUAGGCAAAUUGGAGUGGAUGCAAGCUUCACUCAGACAGGAGUUGAUAUCCUUCAACACCAACCUCUCAAACACUUCAUCACUGUGGAUGGAAGUGCCACUGGGUGAUAGUCAUUGAGGCAGAUUACCAUUCUUUUCUUAGGUACUGAUACGAUUGAAACCUACUUGAAGCAGGUGAGUACCAGACACUGCCGGAGCGAGAGGUUGAAGAUGUCUGCGAACACAUCAGCCAGUUCAUCAGCACAGGUCUUCAAUACUUGGCCAGGUGCUCUGUCCAGAUGGUUCCUUGGAUUCACUCUCUUGACAGCAGCCCACACAUCAUCUUCUGCUGUCCCCUAUAUCACCAGACUUUACUUUGUAGAAGUUAUCCAACAUUCCCUCAAAUCUAAUCAAUAAGCUCCAAGACCUUGGCUUCAAAGCCUCCUUGAGCAAUUGGAUUCUCAAUUUCCUGACUUGUAGACCCCACUCAGUUUGGCUUGGCAACAACGACACCUCUACAAACUCAGCAGGUUGGGCAGCCUCCGUUGACUGCUCAUUUCAACGGAUGCUGCCCGACCUGCUGAGUUCAUCCAGCUUGUUUGUAUGUGUUGAUUUGACCACAGCACCUGCAGUGUACUUUGUGUUAACACCUCUACAAUCUUCACCAGCAGAGAUUACCUCAAGGCCACAUGAGUAGCCCUCUGCUUUACUCUGUUUUAUGACUGUAUGGCUAAGCUCAGCUCCAAUGACAUAUUGAAGUUUACUGAUGACACUAUUAUUGUAGGCCUAAUUAAAGGUGGUGUUGAUCAGAAUAUAGGAAGGGAGGGGGAGAUUAAAAAUCUGGCUGGGUGGUGCCAUAACAACAAUGUCAGCAUGAUCAAGGAGCUGAUUAUUGACUUUGGGAGGAGGAAACCAGAGGACCACGAGUCAGUCCUCAUCAGAGGAUCAGAGUUGGAGAGAGUCAGCAACUUUAAAUUCCCUGGUGUUUUUAUUUCCAAGCACCAGUCCUUGGGCACCAACAUGUAAGCUUAAUUACAAAGAAAGCAUGGCAGCACCUCUACUUCCUCAGGAGUUUGACAAUCUAAAAUGUCACAGCAUGACAUCUAAAACUUUGAUAAACUCCUAUAGAUACCGUAUGUAGUGGAGAGUAUAUUGACUGAUUGCAUCACAGCCUGGUAUGAAAACACCAAUGCCCUUGAAUGGAAAAUUCUACAGAAAGUAGUUCAUUUGGCCCAGUCUAUCAUGGGCAAAGCCUUCCCCACCACUGAGCACAUCUACACAAAAUAUUGUUGCAUCUAUCAUCAGACACUCCCCACCACCCAGGAUAGCACCACCUUACUGCUGCUAUCAGGAAAAAGGUACAGGAGCCUAGGACUCACACCACCAUGUUCAGGAACAGUUAUUACUCCUCAACCAUCAGGCUCUUGAACCAAAGGGAAUAACUUCACUCAACUUCAAUUGCCCCAUCAUUGAAAUUUCCCAUAACGUAUGGACUCACUUUCAAGGUCUCAUCAUCUAAUGUUCUCGAUAUUUAUUGAUGUUUAUUUAUUUAUUAUUAUUUCUUUCUGUUGUGUUUUGCACUUUGGUAGAAUGCCCAGAUUGGUGCAGGCUUAAACAAGAGAACAUCUGCAGAUGCUGGAAAUCUGAGCAACACACACAAAAUGCUGGAGGAACUCAGCAGGCCAGGCGGCAUCUAGGAAAAGUACAGUCGGAGUUUUCGCAGGACUGAGUGUGUUCCCCCUGGCGUUCAUACUGAGAACUUAAGACUGAGAAACAGGUUAUUCCUAAAUUAAAAUUAGUCCUCUUUCCAAAGCUUUGACAGCUAAUUCUGGAUUUAAGGAAGCGAAUGUAGUAUCACUAUGUUAUGCAUGUUUUUUCCUGAACCCAUCAUGUGCUGAAACCUUCAUUAAUGUCACAGCCAACCUCAAUAUCUCAGUUAUCUCCAAUACUGAGCAUCAUCAUCAGCCAUCCGGCUGAAGGCUCGGUCUGAAAUGUCAGCUGUCCUCUUUUUCUGAAUGCUGGUUGGCCUGCUGAGUUCCUCCAGCAUUUUGUGUGUGUUGCUUGUUGCAGACUUUCUUUGAUUCUAUUAUGGAUUUAUUGAGUAUGCCCAAAAGAAAAAUGAAUUAGAAGGUUGUAUGUGGUAACAUAUAUGUACUUUGAUAAUAAAUUGACUUUGAACAUUGAAAGUUUGAACUUUGAAUUUGUGUCUAGGUUCCUUGGCUGAAUGUAGGCUGAUGUUUAUUGAUUACUGUUUGGCUUUCAACACAAUCAUAUCCUCAGUUCUACUCAACAAGCACCAAAACCUGGGCCUCUUUACCUCCCUCUGC